rfam:Schistosoma margrebowiei strain Zambia genome assembly, scaffold: SMRZ_scaffold0003642
AUCUAGUUGACGAGUCCCAAAAAUGACGAAACUCGCGUCCUGGAU